rnacentral:rRNA from 1 species
GCGCACGCAGGCGGUUUGUUAAGUCAGAUGUGAAAUCCCCGGGCUCAACCUGGGAACUGCAUCUGAUACUGGCAAGCUUGAGUCUCGUAGAGGGGGGUAGAAUUCCAGGUGUAGCGGUGAAAUGCGUAGAGAUCUGGAGGAAUACCGGUGGCGAAGGCGGCCCCCUGGACGAAGACUGACGCUCAGGUGCGAAAGCGUGGGGAGCAAACAGGAUUAGAUACCCUGGUAGUCCACGCCGUAAACGAUGUCGACUUGGAGGUUGUGCCCUUGAGGCGUGGCUUCCGGAGCUAACGCGUUAAGUCGACCGCCUGGGGAGUACGGCCGCAAGGUUAAAACUCAAAUGAAUUGACGGGGGCCCGCACAAGCGGUGGAGCAUGUGGUUUAAUUCGAUGCAACGCGAAGAACC